UUCCUUGUGGCUCAGCUGGUAAAGAAUCCACCUGAAAUGUGGGAGACCUGGGUUCGAUUCCUGGCUUGGGAA
rnacentral:tRNA from 1 species